GUCACGAUCAAAUGUAUGUGUGUUAAAAAAAAUUUUUUUUCUUUAUGUUUGUUUGUUUAUUUGUUUUUAUUUUUAAGAGAGAGACACAGAAUCCGAAGCAGGCUCCAGGUUCUGGGCUGUCAGCACAGAGCCUGAUGUGGGGCUCGAACUCAAAAGCGGUGAGUUCAUAACCUGAGGCCAAGUCAGACGCUCAACCGACUGAGCCACGCAGGUGCCCCCAAAUGUCUGUGUUCUUAAAGAGCCCAGACCCAAGGGUGACCUUGCAGUCCCAAGCCAACCUCUGACCCCUGGAGGACACCGGGGCCUCCUGUCCUGUCUUGUCCCAGCCCAGCUGGGAUUGGACACCCCUCCUUCUCUGGACAGAGAGGUAUUGCUCGGUGGGGAAAUGGGAGUCUGGAAACAGGAGGUGCCACAGACCUGCGGGAAGACGCCGAAGUCCUUGGGGGAGCUAGAGCUGGUUCUACUUGUACCCAAGUGUCCCUACUGUGACCAGCCGGAAGGGGCCAGCCACUCGUGUUGCAGUCGUGCUGAAUCGUCCCGUCGGGGGCCCUGGGGCGAGGGUGGUGGAUUAUCUGGUUGGGAGGGCUGGGGCGGGGUCUGCAAGCCCUGUCCAAUCAGGGUCCGCGGUCUCGGAGCACCGUCCAAUCAGAACCGCGGGCGGGCUCCCAGCCGUGUGGGCUGGGCUCUCAGACCGCCAGAGGCGCUAGUGUGCACCUGCCCCGUGCGGCUGCAGGUGUCUGGGUCGGCGUCGCGCUCACCUGCCUGGGCCAUGGAGCCACGGGGAGGACGCCAGGAGAGCCUGCAGCGAGGCCGCGAGAUGAUGAUGAGAAUCAACUUAGAACCAAUGGGUCCACUUCUCAGCAGGUUAUUUUUGGAGAAAAAUUAUCCAAUGAGCAGAAAAUAGCAAGGUUCACAAAAAAUGAUUCCUGGACCUCCCUUUUUGGAGAAAAUUGGGAAGACCAGUGCAUUGAAGAUAAGCACAACAACCAGGGGAGACAUUUGAGGUGAGUUGCAUUUAGGAGAAAAUGCAAUAUCCCAGUAGAGAAUCUCACUAUUUCAUGAAAUUAAAAAACAAAAACAAAAACAAGAGACCCAUAAACCUAGCUCCAGAUUUGUUUAUUCACAAAUCAUUCCCUCCCUUUUUUUCCUUCAUGUGACUCAGACAUUAAGCGUUUGAAAGAUAAUUUGGUGGAAAACAAUGACCAGGGAACCCUACAUAUGAGAAAUGCUGUUGUAGUAAUGGGCUGUGCCUCAGCCCAUUCUCAGAGCAUUUAGUUUAUUCCACCUUGAACUAAUUCCGACAGGACAGAAAACCUAUAUUUAGACAGAAAAAUGGUAGAAAUGUAAUCCUCGAGCUCAUUAACAAAUAUUAAUAAAUAAUUAAUACACAAACCA
rnacentral:lncRNA from 1 species